rnacentral:lncRNA from 1 species
UCCUCGCCAUCCACGCCGCGUUCGCCGCUGCUCCCCGUGGCCCCGGCGAGCACGACCGUGCCAGUGGACUGCGCCUUUGCCCCGCAACUUCUUCGCGCGCUCGGGCCGCGCCUGCAGCACCACCGGUCGUUGCCGUCAUCGACAUGCCCCGUCAAAGCUCGCCACCACCCCUCGUGCCGCGGCGUCCUCCUCGUCAUCCCAUGCUGAGGCCGUCGACUCCGCGCCACAACCCCUCAAGCCCUCUGCUCUGCCUCGCGCCUGUCGGCCCGUCCGGCCACUGGACCUCGACGGCAGGGUUCCUCCGGCCUCCCCAAGCUCUCCUCUGCAACAAUGUGAGCAUCCGGCUCCCCCUGGCCUCUUCCCUCUCUUCCACGUCCCCCGUAGAUGCCUGGCCGACGAGGCCGUGCCUCUGCCGCUGCUCGCCGCCGACAUGGUGGUCGAUUUCGAUCGUCCCCGCGCCUAUGGUUUGUCCCAGUGAGUGCGCAGCAAGGCCCUCGACCGGUCCGUGCCAACCGCCGCUCCAACGGUCGCCGGAGGCGAGUGCACGACCGUCGCCAUUGCGCUCUGCCUCGCCGUCGUUUCCCUGCUGAUGUGGAACAUCAUUAACCCCAAAUCACCCCCUGGUGCCACUGACCUAUGGGCCCACUAGCUAAUUAUAUUAGUUCAUAGCUAAAUAAGUCUGUUAAAUAACGGUUCAAUUAAAAUAUGACACUGAUAGUGGGGUCCUACCUAGCUAAUUAAUUUAGCUAACUAAUUUAGAUUAACAUCAGAGUAUGACAGAUGGUCCCCCACCGGUCAGACUUGACUAGUCAGCGUUAACCUAGUCAACUGCUGACUGGACCCUCUGGCCCACAUGUCAGCCUCUGCUGAUAGGCUGGUUGACCAAGUCAACUGGGCCCACUGUCAGCCUUUGUACUGAAUAGCUGGGUACAAUUCUGGGCACCCCUAGCAUUUUAUUCUUUUAAUUUCAAAUUAAAUUAAAUCCACAGAUUAAAAAACAUUUAAAACUUUGAAAAUUAAUAUAAAAUAAUCCGUAACUCGGAUGAAAAUACUUUCUACAUGAAAGUUGCUUAGAACGACGAGACGAAUCCAGAUACGCAGCCCGCUCAUCCGCCAUGCAUCCCUAGCAUAGCGAACACGCAACUUUCCCCCUCCGGUUCAUCUGUCCGAAAACGCGAAACACCGGGGAUAUUUUCCCGGAUGUUUCCCCCCCUUCACCGGUAUCACCUCGUACCACGUCAGGUCACCCAUAGCACAGCGUAAUGCCGCAUUUUGCUUUUUGUUACAUUGAUUGCUCUGUUAUUUAUUGUGUUCCCCCUCCGUUACUUCUUUCCGGUAGACCCCGAGACUGCCGGAGACCCCCAGUAC